UACGGGAGGCAGCAGUGGGGAAUCUUGCGCAAUGGCCGCAAGGCUGACGCAGCGACGCCGCGUGUGGGAUGACGGCCUUCGGGUUGUAAACCACUGUCAGGAGGGACGAAUACGGGGCUCCGAAUAGGGCACCCCGGGUGACGGUACCUCCAGAGGAAGCACCGGCUAACUCCGUGCCAGCAGCCGCGGUAAUACGGAGGGUGCGAGCGUUGUCCGGAAUCACUGGGCGUAAAGGGCGCGUAGGCGGUUCGGUAAGUCGUUGGUGAAAUCCCGGGGCUCAACCCCGGGGCUGCCGACGAGACUGCCGGGCUAGAGGCCGGUAGAGGCAGAUGGAAUUCCCGGUGUAGCGGUGGAAUGCGUAGAGAUCGGGAAGAACACCAGUGGCGAAGGCGGUCUGCUGGGCCGGUCCUGACGCUGAGGCGCGAAAGCGUGGGGAGCAAACAGGAUUAGAUACCCUGGUAGUCCACGCCGUAAACGAUGGGUACUAGGCGUCGGGGGGAGCGACCCCUUCGGUGCCGUCGCUAACGCAAUAAGUACCCCGCCUGGGGAGUACGGCCGCAAGGCUGAAACUCAAAGGAAUUGACGGGGGCCCGCACAAGCGGUGGAGCAUGUGGUUUAAUUCGAUGCAACGCGAAGAACCUUACCUAGGCUUGACAUGCACGUG
rnacentral:rRNA from 1 species